CCACUGAUGCCACCCUAGAUGCAUGGUGCGGAUCCCACCUCGUGUAAUUUAUAACAACCACUCGUUUGAGAAAUAUUUUCCCAAAAGGAAUCAACCACUAUUGAGAUCAAUUUCCUGAUGGUCCUUAUCCAAAUCCUAUACCUUGAUUAUCUAUCCACAGAAGUUUGAGCUCCAGGCCAACUUUACAAAAGAGAACACAAGAAGUGAAGUGGUCCUCAAAGAUCAAAACAUUUUCCAUUGUUUCAAGGUAGAGAGUGUGAGAAAUAACACCGGUGCAUAUGCUGUCACUCCAUGUUAGGGAAUUCCAAUAGAAGUCUAAGCCCCACUUCCUCCACUCUUCCACCAGCCAUCCCACUAAUCAGGCUUCAAUGAACCCUGCUGCGAAACCACAAUCAACUAAGCUAAAUCUCUCCUCUUUCCAUCCCACUCAUGGCCUCUUACAUGGCCAUCAACCUAUGUUCACUACUUUGAUUACCGGUCUCCUCUCCUUUCUACUCCUCUAUCUCCACCAUUCUAACAAGUCAGUCAGGCGACCACCUGGUCCUUCAGGUCUCCCCAUCAUCGGUAACCUCCACCAACUAGGUUCCUUGCCGUACCGCUCCCUAGCCCACCUUGCCAAGAUCUAUGGACCCUUCAUGCACCUUAAAUUGGGCCGAGUCAGCACUUUGGUAGUCUCCUCUCCUAAGAUGGCCGAGCUGGCCAUGAGGACCCAUGACCGUGCCUUGUGUAGCAGGCCCAUCCGUGCGGCCACCAACCACCUUACCUACAACAGCACAGAUGUGGUCUUUGCACCAUAUGGACCAUAUUGGCGCAACGUAAGGAAGAUUUGCAUCCUGGAGCUCCUCAGCUCAAAGAGGGUCCAGUCGUUCCGGAAUGUGAGAAAAGAGGAAGUGGGGCUCCUCGUCGACUCGAUCUUUGUAUCCUCCAAAGCUAAAGCUCCUGUCAAUUUGAGAGAUGCGUUUCAUUCUCUCACUAACAAUGUGGUAUGCAGAGUGGCACUUGGGAAGAGUUAUAGGGAGGACGAGCCGGAGUUGGAGGAGAUAUUGAAUUCUUCCCAGCCAUUGACUAGUGGCUUCUUUGUGGGGGACUUCUUUCCAUCAUUGGAGUGGGUGAAAUAUUUGACAGGGUUUCAAAGGAGGUUGGAGAAAAACUUGAGGCAAAGGGAUUCUUUCCUUGAGAGAGUAAUCGCUGAGCACCUUCUUCCUAGAGCUCCAAAAAGAGGGCACCCCUGAUUUCACUCUCUCUAGAAAUAACAUCAAAUCUGUUGUUAUGGACAUGUUUGCAGCUGGGACAGCUACCACUGCGACAGUACUAGAGUGGGGAAUGUCUGAGUCGAUAAAGAACCGAUCAGCAAUGAAAAAAGCCCAAGACGAAGUACGAGGGAUAGCUAAAAGCAAUAACAAAAGCAUGAUAGAAGAGAAAGAAUUGCAACAGCCCCAUUACCUGAAAGUAGUGGUGAAAGAGAUCUUGCGAUUGCACCCUCCAGCUCCAUUGUUGAUUCCUCAUGAAUUGGUCGAGGAUUGCGACAUAGAAGGCUACUUUGUCCCUUCAAAGACCACAGUUUUGGUGAAUGUUUGGGCAAUUGGGAGGCACCCAGACUCGUGGGUAGAUCCAGAAGAGUUUAGACCUGAAAGGUUUAUAAGUAGUAAUAUUGACUACAAGGGCCAAGAUUUUGCGCUGAUACCAUUUGGGGCAGGCCGAAGGGGAUGCCCUGGAAUUUCCUUUGCAAUGGUUAUUUUAGAGCUUGCAUUGGCCAAUCUCUUGCUUUGCUUUGAUUGGGCAAUGCCUGAUGGAAUGAAUAAUGAGGACCUAGACAUGACAGAAGGUACAGGGCUCUUUGUGCUCAAGAAAACCCCCUUGCUGCUAGUGGCAACUCGACAAGCACUUGAUAGUAACAGUAAUGGCGAUUGGUAACGAUUUUUGUGUUCUUUUCCAACUCUUUAGUAUUGCUAAUUUUCCC